UUAAAUUUUGCAGAGCCAAGAAGGAGUAGGCCUAAGGUUGCCAUUUUGCAGGUAGUUUCUGCAUGCUCCAUUCUCUUCUCUGCUAACUGGAGCUGGAGUCAAACUGCAAGAUUGGAUUGAAGUGUCUGACCAGCAUGCUGAGACAACAGAUGUAACUGAUUGGAAGUUUCAUUGGUGGAUGAAAAGCAAGCUUAAUGAGGCUGUAUCCAGAGUGGUGGAGGAGGGGAGGAUAGUGCAGAAGAUGGUUGAGAGCCUGAACCAAGCCAUCAAAAUUGUCAUUUAGCUGACAACAUGGAUGGCUGGGAUGAAGUAGCUGUGGCAGCUGGUUGGCUUCUUUGAGUAUCUUGGUCUCUUGGCUGGUUGUUCAUGUGGCCUGUGGAAAUUCGAGAAAUGAAUUGGGAAGAUCAAUGGGAUAUUUGAGACUUGCUAAAUUUUCUUUUAUUUGCAGGUGUAUACAUUUUGAGGGAUCUAAGGGUAGCCCUCGAGUCCUUCAAAAUUUGAAGCAACUCAUCAGUCGAUUUAGAGAAUACUUGUGGCCAUCCAAAGGGAGGUCCUCAGCAGUAUUCUGCGAUUCCCAAAAGAAACUGGACACCUAGCGCCAAGAUGGUUGUCACAUCAUGAUCAUGGUGGAAAUGGACCAGGUUGCCAUAUCAGCUGCAUAUAAGGAGGACUGUAAUAAUGUUCUCAUUAAGAGUUGCCCUUCAUUGAUGUCCUUAAAUUGUUUGCAGUGUUCCUCUGGCAAAUGCACAAUAAAGGUGUUGAAUUUAUUGUAAUUCAGAUAUGUCAAAACAAG